rnacentral:tRNA from 1 species
GCAAGUGUAGUACAGCGGUUAGUAUACAAGUUUUCCAAACUUGGGAUGAGGGUUCGACUCCCUCCACUUGCACCA